GUUCCCUUCAGAGGUCUCUGCCUAGAGCCGGGGGCCAAUUGCAGCCCUUCUGAGGUCCUGGACAUCUAUCUGAUCCAUGCCUGUGAGCAGACCUGGCAUCUUGAAUCACAGGCUAUCCCUGAAGGAGCGCUUGGUUAAGUUUCCUGCUCUGCAGUGUUCCUCUUGCUGCUCCAUCUGUUCCUGCUUCCAGAGAUUUUUUUUUUAAUCUCCUCAGGAAAUUCAAUGGAACAAGGAAAACAACAACAAAAAUACAUUAUUGAGGAACGACUGGCAUACAGUAAAAUUUUUACAGGUUAAGAGUAUAUUCUGAGGAUUUGGAGCAGCUGAUAACCCAACAGAGUCAUUAAGGUCAUCUUCGGGUUCCCCAGAGUGCCUCUGUUAGAAACCCAACAAACCACUAGGAUGGGCAUGAUGCUUGAAUCUCUCACGACAACUUAAAGAUGGUGGUUUUCCUACUAUUGUAUUGUGAUGUAUCUUCAGAGCACAAAGCACUUGAAACAAGUUAAUCCGGACGCUUCCUUGGAGAAGCCUUUCAUCUGUGCGUCCACAACUGACGAUAAUGAGCUCCUGCCCGGUGCAUUGAUGGCUUUUCCUCCUUCCUGGCAGACACACUGUACACAAAAGGCAGGUGUGCUCUGAGAAGAGCAGGGGAUGAGGGAACCUCUGGCAAGCCCUGGUUCUGUCUCACUCGCCUUCUUAAACAGCUGUCUUUUCCCUUUGUUACUUUUGAUAUAGUUACUAAUUCAGAGAAAAGUGGUCAGAAUACAAGGAAUCCUGUAUAUCUCCUCAGAUUCAUCAAGUUUUCAUUUCACCCUCAGUUAUAUACAUUUUACACUCAGGGCUUGUUUUGCUUUGUUUUCAUUUCAGAACCAAAGCAAACCAAAACAACAACUAGGGGCUAGAGAAAUAGCUCAAUGAAAAUGGUGGUGUGAGGGUUAGGGGUGACUUUUGGCUCCUCAGAACAGUCGGGUGGAUGAGACAGCCUGCUUGUAAUUCCAGCCCUCAUUUUGAGGUGAAGACAGGGCACUCCGGACAAGCAGGCCAGAUUGUGAGCUGUGGGUUUAAGUGAGAGGACCCCCCGCCCCUGCUCCGUCACUAUUAAAGGUGGAGAAUAAUGGAAGAAGAUGUUGCAGGACUUUCCCUGUCCAAUUACAUUAGUGCAGAGGAGGCCUGUGAUUGGAAAGGGAAAAGGGAGGUGGAGCUAAGAGCUGCAGAGGCAGAGAGUGUCUCAAGAGAGAGGAGGAAGGGGAAUGGUGGCUGACAUGAUGAUGUCAUAAGGUUAGAAGAGCUGGGAUAAAGCUUUAUCAUUAUCAAUUGGCUCUGA